CGCUGAGGCCCCAGGGUGGGACCGCGGCCUAUCAGGUAGUAGGUGGGGUAACGACCCCACCUAGCCUACGACGGGUACGGGCCCUGAGAGGGGGAGCCCGGAGAUGGGCACUGAGACAAGGGUCUAGGCCCUAAGGGGCGCAGCAGGCGCGAAGAUUCCGCAAUGCCCGAAAGGGCGACGGAGUGAACCCGAGUGCCACCCGCUGAGGGUGGCUGUUCCCCUGUGUAAAAAGCAGGGGGCAGGAAGGGGAGGGCAAGGCUGGUGGCAGCCGCCGCGGUAAAACCAGCUCCCCGAGGGGUUCCCACGCAUACUGGGCCUAAAGCGUCCGUAGCCGGCCCUGUAAGUCUGCAGUUAAAUCCGCCUGUAGACAGGCGGGUUGCUGCAGAUACUGCAGGGCUAGGGAGCGGGAGGAGCCGGGGGUAUUCCCGGGGGAGCGGUAAAAUGCGUAGAUCCCGGGAGGACCACCAGUGGCGAAGGCGCCCGGCUUGAACGCGUCCGACGGUGAGGGACGAAAGCUGGGGGAGCAAACCGGAUUAGAUACCCGGGUAGUCCCAGCCGUAAACAAUGCCGGCUAGGUGCUGGCCAAGGUUUCGGCCUUGGCCAGUGUCGAAGCGAAGGCAUUAAGCCGGCCGCCUGAGGAGUACGGCCGCAAGGCUGAAACUUGAAGGAAUUGACGGGGGGGCACCACAAGGGGUGAAUGCCUGCGGCUUAAUUGGACUCAACGCCGGGAAUCUUACCGGGGGCGACAGCAGGAUGAAGGUCAGGCUGAAGACCUUACCAGACGCGCUGAGGGGUGGUGCAUGGCCGUCGCCAGCUCGUGCCGUGAGGUGUCCUGUUAAGUCAGGCAACGAGCGAGACCCCCGCCCCUAGUUGCCAGCGGCCUCCUUCGGGAGGGACCGGGCAAACUAGGGGGACCGCCUCCGAAGAGGAGGAGGAAGGUGGGGGCUACGGCAGGUCAGUAUGCCCCUAAUCCCCCGGGCCGCACGCGGGCUGCAAUGGGCGGGACAGCGGGAUG
rnacentral:rRNA from 1 species